GCACCCUUAGUGUAGUGGAUAUCACGCAAGAUUCCGGUUCUUGAAACAGGGGUUCGACUCCCUUAGGGUGCG
rnacentral:tRNA from 2 species